rnacentral:tRNA from 1 species
UCCUCUGUAGCUUAACAGUAAAGAAUCUGCUUGCAAUGCAGGAGACCCAGGUUCGAUCCCUGGGUCGGGAA